GCAAUUAAGCCUGCUGCUAGAAAACACUCCACUCAAGAUCCAUCCACUCCAGCAGUUCAAACGCCCACCGACGCCGGCUGAAACUACUGUGCCCUGCCAACGCCAACGGCGGCAAACAAAAUCUCUGAAAUUGCCCAUCAACGUACGAGUCCGACUUCGCCCGACACAAGGGAAACAAGAGUGACAGAACGAAUCAACCGGGAACGCAAAGCACAACAGUGCAGCAACAACAGCAGCGGUGGAAAGUGAAACGAGUACGAGUAAAUUGCAGUUUGUCUAGACGGAGCAAUGAAAUUUGCAUUAACAAAUCACCCCCAAGAGCUCCGGCAGCCGCCAAAAGAAUAAGCAAAUUGGUGAAGAAGGACGUGACUUUUUUGUCCCGGUGGUGGGUAAAAUAUCGAUUGCGGCCUGAAGCUGAAAUGUCAUAAAUCUAGAUGCUGCAUUGCACAAAACACAAAGCGUCUCCAUUCAAAGAGAAGCAGUGGAAGCGCACGGUCGAAAGUGCAUCAUGAAUGGGAUAAGAAUACAACUGUACCUACCGAAACUUCCUGAACCGGUCCACUUCUGCAUUGUUCGGAAAAAUAGAAUUGGGCUACAUCGUUAGCGCAA